AAGGUUUUAUGUUAAUUAAACACAUAUCCUUCAAAGUUGUAAAUAUUGGUACAAAUCCUUUAAACCUUA
rnacentral:tRNA from 1 species